AUGGGUGUUGGGUCCAACAAUUCGCAUUGGUCUCAAACCAAUGACAUCCAUUUCGAAGACCAUGAGUUUGAGGUGGACGAGGAGGGUGAGGGCAUUGUCGACGCGCCGAAAGAAAGAGUGGGCAAUUACACCACCGAAGAUGACAUCUUACUAUGCAAUACUUGGUUGCAAGUGUCGAGGGAUCCAUCCAUUGUAGGUGAUCAAAGUAGAGAUGCUUAUUGGGGGCGAAUGAAAGAACACUUUGAUGCUCACAACGUGAGUGGAAUUGACCGCUCCGAGAGAUCACUUCGGUCCCGAUGGUCGACAAUCAACUCGGAUUGUCAAAAGUGGGCGGCCGCACAAAAGGCAGCUGACAAGAUUAACCCAAGUGGCACAAAUGAGGAUGAUAGAUACAACAUUGCACAAAACUUGUUCAAAGAAGAGGUGAGGACAACCAAGAAGGGGAAGAUCAAGAAAGGAAGGAUCUUUACCUUGCCUCAUUGCUAUGAAGUGUUAAAGGAUGAUGAGAAAUGGAAGAAGCGUGAAGAUUUGGAUGAUUUGCAUUUGAGCAACAAACGCAAGUGA
rnacentral:rRNA from 1 species